GCAGACCACCACCACCUCAUUCAAUCAGCAGUCCUCAUUUUCUCAGAGGGGGAAGGGAGGAAGAGGUUGCGUGUUCGCGGAGAAGCAGAAGACCAAACCCUCUCCUCCUCGAGCGGGCGGAGAGGGAGGAGGGGCGCGCGGAGGACGAAGGCCACCAGCAGCCAGCCGCGUCGACUCGAGCCGCCGGCCAAGAUUAAGCAAACAUCUGAUCAGACUGUACAUGAGUCAUGGCUGGGCAUCAUUAUCACAAUUCCCAGAUGUCAAGAAUGGAUCGUACGAACCAGCCACGUAAUGAACCUCCGCCUUUUGGUCAAAAGUUAUUUGUGCAUCCUAGAGGUGAUGCACCUAAUGGAGCGGGACCAUCAGGUUAUGGGGUUACAACUGUGAGAUCUAAUGAACUUCCAUCCUCAAGCUACACUGGUCAGUCUUAUGGUCAGCAGAUUGGAGCCCCUGGAACCUUGCAUGCCUCCCAUGCUGGUUAUCCUCCUGCUGGAAGCUCUAGUAGCAGCUAUGCACCAUACAAUACUCAACAUGUGCCUUCUUUAAGCUAUCCACGUAGAUCCGAGGAUAGUUUUAUUCCUGGAGUCCAUGUGGAUGACAGAAGGGUUGCACCGAAGCGGAGAAAUCCCAUCACUCAUCCUGUGGAUGGUAUAAGUGCUGGAGGCUAUUAUCCUGGCAGUUCUUCCAAUAAUCAGAUCUCUGGUUACAUGCCCCUGAAUCCUGUUCCUACUCGUGAAACCUGCCCUCCACAAAUAAGUUCAAACAUGGGUUCCAGCCACUGGAACGAUCAUCAGUUUCUUAAUCAUGAAGGAUCUCAGAGGAAUGUGAGGGGACGCCAUGAUCAUAGUUCUAUCCAUUCGGAAUAUAAUUCGUCUACAGCUUGCCCAUCAAGCAGUGUUCAUGUGCCACCAUACCAUCCAAAUGCAAAUGCUCCUUUUGGUGCACCAGUACAGCGGGAAAGAGCUCCUUUAUCUCUACCUCCCAGAAUUGUUCCUCCAGGGACAGAUGGAAGCACUGGCAUAGCAUUCAGAGAGAGGCCAUUCUAUCCUGCUCCACAGAGCACCAACAUAAGUGCUCCUGUGCCACCACUUCCUGGUUCUUCUGACGGUGCACCAUUUGCUCGCAUUGGAUACACUCCUAGACCAGUUCAUCAUAACGCUGGCCACAAUUAUCCACCGCCAGCUUUUACAACUUCUUCCAACUCUGGAGCAGUUCGGUGUGAGCCUGCUAACCCUCGCUAUCAACCUGCCAUGCCCAGCUAUCCUCCUGCUACCGCUGCAGCAUCAUCAAGUGUCCAGCCAUUACAUGCCGAAGCUGCUGCAUCUUUUAGACAGCCAAGGCACGUCUCUGUGGGGCAUGGUGGUAGUGCAAGGAGUAGAAGGAUGAGGGAUUCCUAUCAUUGCUUUCAUCCUUUGAUGAUCGAGGAGAAUAACCUAGGAAGAUCGGCAGCUGAGCGUUUUAUGAUGCUGGACCAGUUGGUCAUCCACGAAUCUAGAGAAGCAUUAGAUCCUCACUGGGACAUGAGACUGGACAUUGAUGACAUGAGCUAUGAGGAGCUCCUGGCGUUGGAAGAACGAAUUGGCAAUGUAAACACUGGCCUGGCUGACGAAAAAAUCUCAGGCUGCGUGAUGGAGCUAGCCUGUCGUAAUUCUGCCCGUACACAGAAUGAUCAAGACAAGGAAAGGUGCAUAAUUUGCCUGGAGGAAUACAAGCACAAGGACUCCCUUGGGAAGCUGAAAUGUGGGCAUGACUUCCAUGCGGGCUGCAUCAAGAAGUGGCUGGAGGUGAAGAACGCCUGCCCGGUUUGUAAAGCCGACGCCGCAAAUGAAACCACCUGAGGGACCAAGUAGUGCGCCCCUCCACAUUUAUCCUAGUUCAGGAAUUUCAGUUAUAUCUGCUCAUUGUGCUGCUCAAGUUGUCUGUGUAAAUAAUAAUUAAAGUCCUAAAGUUAGGAUUGUUUUGUGAACUCAAAACAUCGUGCCCGAUGUAAGUAUGAAUCUUUAAGCAAGUUAUCGAUUAGUUAUCCAAAGCCUCUGAUCCCC
rnacentral:rRNA from 1 species